CAACGCCCACUUCAUCGGCAACCACAACCCCUCCACGAGCCGCGACUUCACCUGGAUCCAGGCCGUGGGGGUCCUCUUCGCCCACCACCGCCUCCACCUCGGCGCCGUUCACUCAGCUCACUGGGACUCCGCCGCCGACCACCUCGACCUCGCCUUCGACGACGAGCGCGUCCACCUCCCGCUCGCCGACGGCGCGCGCUGGUCCUCCGCGUCCGUGCCCGGGCUCUCCAUCACCCGCACGUCGCGGGCCAACAGCGUCGUCGUCGAGCUCAAGGGGGUGUUCCGGAUCGUGGCCAACGCCGUGCCCAUCACCGCCGAGGAGUCGAAGGCGCACGGCUACGGCGUCACCGCCGACGACUGCCUCGCGCACCUCGACCUCGGGUUCAAGUUCCACGCUCUCUCCGACGACGUCCACGGCGUGCUCGGCCAGACCUACCGCUCCGACUACGUCAACAAGCUCAACGUCGCCGCCAAGAUGCCCGUCAUGGGCGGCGCCGACGACUACGUCUCCUCGGCCCUGUUCGCCACCGACUGCGCCGUCACGAGGUUCGGCCGCCCCGCCGCGGCAACGGUUGUUGGCACCGCCGCCGGCGGCAUCGCCAUGGUCACCGACGCCAAGUACGUCUAGACGACCGGUCCAAGAGUCAACCAGCCCGGUACUUGCGUGCUGCCAUCUGGCGU
rnacentral:lncRNA from 1 species